GGUUUCCUAACGGGACCCCUGUCUGGAUCCGGGUUUGGGGGUGCCCAGCACUGGCAGGUGAGGCAUGGGGAAGGGAAAGGGGGCAGCUUGCUUCUGGGCUCAGAGUUGGAACUGUCCACCCCCCGCAGCUGCCUCCUCAUCCCAGUCUCGUUCCUCUGCGCUCAGACACCUUCCUGGUCCCCAACCCGACAGGGCGUGGCCGGAGCCUGUGGCGGGAGCACCGGUCCAGGAGCUUAGGGAGCCCUGAAGAAGACCAUGGACUUGCUGCGGUGCCGUUUGCUCUUCUGGGCCUUGGGAAGCUGGGGGCAGGAAGCAAUCUGUCCUGAGGAGGCUGGCUGAGCUGGCCAGGCCCUCGCCGCGCACCCAGCUGCCGCCGAUCCGGGUGGCACAGGAUGAUUGAGCAGAGCCCCAGUGACACCUGCUUCCAGGCAUGUAAAAGUGUUCUGCGGAGUCUCAGUGUCCGCGAGGCCUUGCCCCUAGGGCAGCGCCCGAGCUUCACCCAGAGAGAUAGCAAGAGAGAGAGCGAAAGCCGGCGGGAGCAGCAGGCAGAGGGAGAGAGAGAAGCAGGCUUCCCACUGAGCCAAAAGCAGACACCCAGCCAACUGAG
rnacentral:lncRNA from 1 species